GACGAACGCUGGCGGCGUGCUUAACACAUGCAAGUCGAACGUGAUUUUUGUGGAAAUUCUUUCGGGAAUGGAAAUGAAAUGAAAGUGGCGAACGGGUGAGUAACACGUGAGCAACCUACCUUACACAGGGGGAUAGCCGUUGGAAACGACGAUUAAUACCGCAUGAGACCACAGAAUCGCAUGAUAUAGGGGUCAAAGAUUUAUCGGUGUAAGAAGGGCUCGCGUCUGAUUAGCUAGUUGGAAGGGUAAAGGCCUACCAAGGCGACGAUCAGUAGCCGGUCUGAGAGGAUGAACGGCCACAUUGGAACUGAGACACGGUCCAAACUCCUACGGGAGGCAGCAGUGGGGAAUAUUGCACAAUGGGGGGAACCCUGAUGCAGCGACGCCGCGUGAGCGAAGAAGGUUUUCGAAUCGUAAAGCUCUGUACCUAUGAGAAGAUAAUGACGGUAUCAUAGGAGGAAGCCCC
rnacentral:rRNA from 1 species